UACGGAGGGUGCGAGCGUUGUCCGGAAUCACUGGGCGUAAAGGGCGCGUAGGCGGCUCAUGAAGGCUGUGGUGAAAGUCCGGGGCUCAACCUCGGAUCGGCCGUGGCGACUCGUGGGCUGGAGCACUGUAGAGGCGGGUGGAAUUCCGGGUGUAGCGGUGGAAUGCGUAGAGUUCCGGAAGAACACCAGUGGCGAAGGCGGCCCGCUGGGCAGUGGCUGACGCUGAAGCGCGACAGCGUGGGGAGCAAACAGG
rnacentral:rRNA from 1 species